rnacentral:rRNA from 1 species
ACUGCUCAGUAACACGUGGAUAACCUGCCCUUAGGACUGGCAUAACCCCGGGAAACUGGGGAUAAUUCCGGAUAGUUCAUGGUAGCUGGAAUGCUCCAUGAUCGAAAGCUAUUGCGCCUAAGGAUGGGUCUGCGGUCUAUCAGGUAGUAGUGGGUGUAAUGUACCUACUAGCCGACGACGGAUACGGGUUGUGGGAGCAAGAGCCCGGAGAUGGAUUCUGAGACACGAAUCCAGGCCCUACGGGGUGCCAGCAGCCGCGAAAACUUUACAAUGCGGGAAACCGUGAUAAGGGAAUCUCGAGUGCCAGCAUAUAAUGUUGGCUGUCCAGAUGCCUAAAAAGCAUCUGUUAGCAAGGGCCGGGCAAGACCGGUGCCAGCAGCCGCGGUAAUACGAUCCCCCCG